UUACGGGUUAGACACUUAAGAGUAGAGGGGAGCCGGGAUGGGUGUGGGGAUCUUUCAUCCCUUGGGCUAAGCCACCUCACUUUGGGGUAAGGGUACUCUUGGAAAUGAAAUUUAAAGUGUCUAGUCUGCUAAUUAAUCCGGAUUUAGUGAACUUGAUAUGGGUUUAGGCCUAGUUAGGACAGUUUGUCACUUUAUCUUGCCCAAAAAAACCCGGCAAAAUUGUGUUUCAGUAAUUUCCCAUUUUCAAUCGUGCAUGUUCUCAUCAAUCACCUGCACAGUGCAGUAGUGCACACAGAGAGUCCCAGCUGCAGCCACGACGUGCCCACGUCUGACUCUGAGCCGGUAACCAGUCAUCUUGUCAUGUCAGGAAACAAUGAUAAACUGCAAGACAUAAGUUGGAAAAAACUACCUUCUGGAGACAAAAGGAACAACCCCAAAUGCAAGGCCACAGGCUGCUUGAACAAACACAGAGAAGACAAGCAUCACUGCAAUUGAUCCACUUAAAGAGUUCAUCAAUCCAAGAAGAAUGCAUAAUAAUCCACCUACAGUCUGGAUAAUCCACCAGCCCCAGAGUCUUCCCCUCAUUCCGAACUUCUUUGCUAGAAGAUCUGACACCAAUCCACCUCCUGGCCUGGCAAAAAAAUUAGCCAGACCAAAACAAGCUGCUAUAAGCCCUGCUGUAUGAAGAUUGAGAUUGAAUCGAUCAAAAAAGUACUCAGCAAUGAUAUUAUCCACUGUUAACUCCACCCCGAAACAGUACCCGUAACACAGAGCAGUAAUCCAUCCCCUGUAAUUGGCAUGUCUUGUCCGAAUAUCAACACUGCAAAUGCCAACACAGUCUGUAAAACAGCAGGAAUGAAGAAUGCUAUUCUCCAUGCUGUAAAAUUUGCAGAUCCCAUCCUAAGAAUGAUAGUGUACACAAGAGGCAUGAUCAUCUGGGUUGCUCCACCUCCAAGGUUGCCCCACCCGGCUGCAAUACCGUUAGCCCGGCCAACUACUGGUGAAGAAAACAUGGAACUCAUCCAGAAUUGGGUUGAUACAAAAGUGGCUAAAGAAAAGCCUGUGAAAAACCGGACUAGCAAAAAGGCGGUGGGUGACUCUGCUAUAGCAGAUAGGUAAACUGCUGGUGCAGUGAGGAGGGUGAGUGCUGCAGAAGCAACUCGAGGCCCAACUAAAUCACAGGCGGUUCCCAUGGCUAACCGAGCAAACACAGCACCGGAAACUGAUGCAAUUCCUGCAUUACCAAUAUCAGUAGCAGUAAGAUUAAGAUUGUCGCGGAUGAUAGGAAGAAGAGGUGGAGCAGCAAAGGUUGAAAGAAAGCAGGCAAAGAAUUGAAGCCAAGAUAGAUGAAAUGCGCGCAUAUGAGGCUUUGCUACUGAUAAUAAGUGAAUGGUUGUAGCCUUGUGCUCUGCAUCAACUGGAAGAGAUGAGCUGGUUGGGAGGACUUUGAAGCAGUGAACUUGGAAAAAAUAGGUGGAGGAUUGACUGAUCUAUAAAGUGUGUUUAUACUCCACAAUCAAACUUCUACUUGAAUUUUGACUUUAUCAAACAUUUUGUACCCUAUA